CUCCCCAAAUCUCGCGCAGCAGCAGCUGAGGAGCUUUGAUCUGGCGCCGCUCCGCCGCUCUCUUCCAGCCUGGUGGAUCUGUGCGAAGCUGGCGGUAGCCUCAUGCCCAGAGGGCCCGAGGUGCGUAUGGGCCUGCAGUCGGCGAGUGCGGAGUUCCGGCGGGGAACUGGACGACCCCAGGUCGGGGCUGCCGAGGACCUCCGCUGCCUCUGUUUGGCCUCCCUGCAGUGAUGUGCGCGGAGUUGCGGCAGGGAGGCACAGCAUGCAGGCCCCGUGCGCGGCCAUGAUUCCAGCAGCGACUAGUGGUAGCCACAAUGACAUCGGCAAGAAUAUACUGCUCUUAUUUGGAUUGCAGCAUGCAAGUUUAAGGUAGAAACUUUGGGUAAUUUAGGGCAAACACUUUGGCAGUCUAUAUACAAAUAUGUCAAUAGAGGACAUGUAAGUUCCAUUGUGGAGGAUUGUGGGCACUCUGUGAGCAGUAUGAUUGUCAAUUGCUCAAAUGCUUAUUCAUUCUCUAGUUAAAUGCAGUAGAAAUUUGCAUUUUUGGAAUAUUAAAAUGAACAAUGUACCGAAUUGAUGGACUGAUAGAACAAUGCUUGCAAUGAUGAAUUGAUUGUUGCCAUACAGUGAUAUAUGAAUGAGUUGAAUUUAUUGAUUA